rnacentral:rRNA from 1 species
AUUGAACGCUGGCGGCAUGCCUUACACAUGCAAGUCGAACGGUAACGCGGGGCAACCUGGCGACGAGUGGCGAACGGGUGAGUAAUGCAUCGGAACGUGCCCAGUAGUGGGGGAUAGCCCGGCGAAAGCCGGAUUAAUACCGCAUACGACCUACGGGUGAAAGCGGGGAUCGCAAGGACCUCGCGCUAGUGGAGCGGCCGAUGUCAGAUUAGGUUGUUGGUGGGGUAAAAGCCCACCAAGCCGACGAUCUGUAGCUGGUCUGAGAGGACGACCAGCCACACUGGGACUGAGACACGGCCCAGACUCCUACGGGAGGCAGCAGUGGGGAAUUUUGGACAAUGGGCGCAAGCCUGAUCCAGCCAUGCCGCGUGCGGGAAGAAGGCCUCGG